CAGGCUGAUACCGCCCAAGAGUUCACAUCGACGGCGGUGUUUGGCACCUCGAUGUCGGCUCAUCACAUCCUGGAGCUGUAGGCGGUUCCAAGGGUUCGGCUGUUCGCCGAUUAAAGUGGUACGUGAGCUGGGUUUAGAACGUUGUGAAACAGUUCGGUCCCUAUCUACCAUGAUUUGGGCUGAAAGUUGCCGUCCUAGUACGGGAGGAUCGGGGGGCACCGGCCUAUGGUGACCAGUUGUUCGUUUUUUAAGCGGGCAUCGCUGGAUAGCUACGCCGGGUAGAAUAACUGCUGAAAGCAUAUAAAGCAGGAAGUCUUGCUUAAAAG
rnacentral:rRNA from 16 species